UGUCUAUUACUCUGAGACAUUCAUCUCGUCGUUGGCAGCUUACUUCUUGCCUCAGGCAGCUCUUUGGACAAGUAUGAUGCUGGGUGACGUCGGCAGGCAUGGUUGAGGAAAUUGGUGGAGGAAAUUUGCCAAGAUAUCGGUGAAAAAAAGCCAGAAUUUCAUGCAAGACAACAAGACACAGGGAGUGAUGGAAAAGAGUCAGUGGGACUUGAAAAAGUCCGCUUUAAAGGAAGACGACUGACCAGACUAGAUGACUUCAUUAACACUUACAAAGAUACUCACAAAGCCCUUUUAAGGGAAUUCCAUGACUCGCAACGAAUCACUAAAAGAAAGGGAGCACCGUAUUCUGAAGGAGAGGUGGAGGCAGCUAAAGGAAAGUAGGAGAGGAGUUUAUGUUACCUCCAUCAAACAGCCAUUCCACUUCAAAGAGAAAAAAACAAUGGUGGCUCCAGCUCCGGUGACGACCAGCCAAGCUCCAGCUGAUAACCAAUCAGCAUCAGUGGCAGCUAAGGACUAUGGGGACCAAAAGCCAGUCACCGAGGAGACACAUGAUUUGAAGAUGCACUUUAUUUAAUUGCCUUUUUUAAUGUGCAUUUAUAUUUUCAUUGCAAAAUAUAUGACAAGCAGUUGAAGACUACAUGAAAUAUUUUGAUUAACCAAACAUUUUGGAUAAAUUUAGAAUCAAUAACACUUUUUGGAAAAAAAAUGUAAGUUUCUAAUGCUUUUCAUGAAACGAAUCAGGUGACUGCAUCUCAAGUGACAAAAAGCAAAGCUCCAGCUGAUAACCAAUCAGCAUCAGUGACAUCCAAGAACCAUGGGGACCAAAAACCAGUUACCCAGGACACACAUGGUUUGAAGAAAAGGAAGAAAAUGCAUAAGCCUACAGGACAAAAGCAAAGGAGCCAUGGACCACUUUGGACAAAGCACUCACCAGAGGAAGUCAUCCAAGCCAUCGAAUUAGACAAGCAUUCAUUUACCAAGACCAAAUGCUAAGCAUCCUGGACCACAAAACUUGGCUCAGCAGUGACGAAGUGGAUUCAGCCUGUUUUCAUCUUGCACAGAAGUUCCCUGAUGUAGAUGGGUUUCAGUCCUGCCUUUGCCAUCAGGCUCUUCACCAGGGAGGUGUGGUUGGGACACCAGAGAAGUCAUUUGUGCAAAUAUUAAAUGUAAAUGACAACCACUGGAUCACAGCAAGUAAUAUUUUCUGUGGACCCAAUGAGCUUUGCAUUUAUGACAGUCUGAAUAUAAACACCAACAAGAAGACAAAGCAAAAACUUUCCUGGUUAUUUCGUCCACAAGCACCUCAAUUCCUCAUUAGAAGGCCUGCCAUGCAGAUGCAGCAGUCAGCUAGCAGUUGUGGACCUUUUGCAUUGGCUUUUGCAUCAGUGUUAUGUGAGGGAGUCAGGCCAGAGGAGUGCCAGUUUCAGGAAAACAACAUGAGACAAAGACUGUACAGAGCUUUGCUGAACAAAACGGCUCUAGUCUUUCUGUAUAAAAACAUAAAGGCAAAGCCUGAAAGGGCCUCAGUUCAGGUUGAGGUUCACUGCAUCUGCAGGACCUCACACAACAGAGAGGUGAUGGUGCAGUGCAGCAACUGCAGUACUUGGUACCACCCAAAUUGUGUGUCUGUCCCACACAAAGCUUUGGACAGUACUGCAGAAGUGCAACUGUGAAAGCUGCACAAAUCAAGAGUGAAAGUUGUGGGGCCUGGCCCUGGUCCUGCCAGCCUUGGGGCGGGGUCAUUCCCUCUGUUGUGUGUGGUGUGGAUGU